UGGGGAAUAUUGGGCAAUGGGCGAAAGCCUGACCCAGCAACGCCGCGUGAAGGAAGAAGGCCUUCGGGUUGUAAACUUCUUUUAAGAGGGACGAAGAAGUGACGGUACCUCUUGAAUAAGCCACGGCUAACUACGUGCCAGCAGCCGCGGUAAUACGUAGGUGGCGAGCGUUAUCUGGAUUUACUGGGUGUAAAGGGCGCGUAGGCGGGAAUGCAAGUCAGAUGUGAAAUCCAGGGGCUUAACCCUUGAACUGCAUUUGAAACUGUAUUUCUUGAGUGUCGGAGAGGUUGACGGAAUUCCUAGUGUAGCGGUGAAAUGCGUAGAUAUUAGGAGGAACACCAGUGGCGAAGGCGGUCAACUGGACGAUAACUGACGCUGAGGCGCGAAAGCGUGGGGAGCAAACAGGAUUAGAUACCCUGGUAGUCCAUGCCGUAAACGAUGAUUACUAGGUGUUGGGGGAUUGACCCCCUCCGUGCCGCAGUUAACACAAUAAGUAUUCCACCUGGGGAGUACGACCGCAAGGUUGAAACUCAAAGGAAUUGACGGGGGCCCGCACAAGCAGUGGAUUAUGUGGUUUAAUUCGAAGCAACGCGAAGAACCUUACCAGGGCUUGACAUCCAACUAACGAAGCAGAGAUGCAUUAGGUGCCCUUCGGGGGAAGUUGAGACAGGUGGUGCAUGGUUGUCGUCAGCUCGUGUCGUGGGAUGUUGGGUUAAGUCCCGCAACGAGCGCAACCCCUAUUGUUAGUUGCUACGCAAGAGCACUCUAGCGAGACUGCCGUUGACAAAACGGAGGAAGGUGGGGACGACGUCAAAUCAUCAUGCCCCUUAUGUCCUGGGCUACACACGUAAUACAAUGGCAUUUAACAGAGGGAAGCAAAGCCGCGAGGUGGAGCAAAUCCCUAAAAGGUGUCUCAGUUCGGAUUGCAGGCUGCAACUCGCCUGCAUGAAGUCGGAAUUGCUAGUAAUCGCGGAUCAGCAUGCCGCGGUGAAUACGUUCCC
rnacentral:rRNA from 1 species